rnacentral:lncRNA from 1 species
CCCACCAAUAUUUUCCGAUUUGAUAUUUUGUUUAUUUAGGCAGCAACCAUUUGAUUUUCUGGGGGGGGGGGGGGGGGGGGGGGGGGGCUAUGGGUUUUUUUUCUUUCAAUUUUAGCAUUACAUAUAGUGGCAGCUGAGGGUGAAAAACAAACAAUUUUUUUUUCUCAGAAUCAAAAACAAAUUAUUUUUUUCUUCAAAAACUGGAAACAAACUUUUUUUUCCAAAAAAAACCAUAGCCCCCCAGAAAAUCAAAUUGUUGCUGCCUUAGGACCUGGGAGAAUAAAAUAAUUUCAAGUUGCAUCUGCCCCUCUAUUAAAUUUUCCAUUCAUACAUCAUCUUCUUUGACAUUAAAGUUCAUUCUUUUCGACUUUAAUGACUUUUUACAAACUUCAAGAAACUUGGACAGGAAUAAAACAGAAAUGAAAGAAAUGGGAUGAGAUAAACUCUAAUUGGUUAUUGAGAGGUGGAAGGACCUUUGUUCAAAUGUCUGGAUUAGGUUUUUUUUGUGGGAUUUGUGGGUUUAAAUGUAACAAGAUAGUUAUCAAAGGUACCAAGAUUAUAAUUAAGUACGCCAGACGUGCAUUUCGUCUACAUAAGACUCAUCAGUGACGCUCAUAUCAAAAUAUUGACCCAGGAAUUAAUGAUUAAAAUGUUUCCUGAUAAGGGAUAAAAUGGUUAAAUUUUUUUUGAAAUUCAUAAUUCAACAUUAUUUUUCCUCCCCUAUUAUAAAACAAUUGAAAGUUAUAAAAAAACUUAUAUUUCAAUGUGCAGUUUUAAACUUUAUCUCCUCCUCAAACAGGCAGAUUUUUUUCUUUUGUAUUUGUCAGUUUGGUAUUCAAUUGUUACAUUUAUAAAGCUAAUAAUAUCAAAGAGGCAAACAGUUUCUGCACAAAAAAUUCUAAAAAGUAAACGAAAAAUAUACAAAUUUCUAUAUAUCUCCACCCUCUUAGGUUGAAAAGUAAUGAUUUAGUUUAAUUUUAUACAGUACACUUUUGGGUUUGGAUCACAACUUUAUAAAACAAUAAACAUCUAAUUAAUGUGUGAAAUUACUUGCUUUCAAUUGACCAAAAAAAUGGAAAAGAAAGAAUAUGAUUUAUUAGUUCAAGACACAAAAUUCCUACAUUAACUUGACAAAAAACAAAGACACCGCUCCUUCAAAGUUGACCUAAAUAAGAUACCGGGUACAUAUGUAUGGUCCAUUAGUUUUGAUUACAUACAAUAAUAUUACCUCCUGCAAAACAAAGAAGAUUGUCAACAACACAAUCAAACACUUAAACAAAAACACUUAGAUUAUAAUAAAAAAGACACAUAUUGGUUUUACACUGCGACAGAAAAUUUCUUCAUCUGAAUACAGACUAGCAUGUGAAAUAUGUUGGAAAUUUUGCUUUAACAUUUAUUGCGGUUAAUUAAUUUACCUCACAUUGAGACUUCAGGACUUUUGACAUUUAUCAUACAUCACUUAUAUAUAUGGGUGAUGGAAUUUCCGAGAUAUUUUUCUGACAAAGAGGAGAAAAUCCAAUUUUUAUACAUGUUUAAUCAUCCUAGUGAUAUGUAGGACUCUGAACUGUGAUGGUUUGAUGCUAAAGUGGGAUGAUCUGCACAAACUAAAUUGUCAAUGCUUUUCAUUUCCAUAUAGAGGACAAUUUAUAUGUAGGGGAAGAGUGAAUAAGGGUUUUAUAAACUUUUUAUACUACAAAAACAGGGAGAAUUGUGGAUAGGACAAAGUUUAUGUUGUGAUUUUUAUUGUUGAAAUCUACAAACUGUUUCUUUUACUGUUGAUGAGAGGCAUUCUUUAAAUACAUACAUGUCCCUGGACUCUCUUGUAAAAUUGUAAAAGUACGGUCAAAGAGGACAAAAUUAAGCAUCCCCCAUCACCUUCAAGUCCUAGAUAUGUAAGAAAGGUAUGACCAAUGUCAAAAUCUACAAGUCUCAACAAAAAAUUAGUUAAUCAAUUAUCAACAAUAAAAGCUUAUUCCUCUUACAAUGGGAA